rnacentral:tRNA from 1 species
ACCCCAGUAGCCCAACGGGCAGAGGCAUCCGGCUCAGAACCGGUUCAGUAUAGGUUCGAAUCCUAUCUGGGGUA